AGUUCGGUGUUAAUACGUAGAUUGGCUGAAGAUUACAGCAGGUUUCAGGGAGAUUCAGUCGCCAGAUUUGACUCGGUGCUUUUCUUCUCUUGUCACCAUGCCAACUGCGUCAGGAAACCAUUACACAGCUCUGCAUUUCAAAACAGGAGCUUUUGAAUGCCAAAACGAUCUGAUGCAUCAAGGGAUCGGCUGAUUAUAUAAUUGCAUAAACCAGCAGCUGGAUGGGUGUUCCUAAUAAAGUGGCUGGUUAUUGCCCAGAGCAUAAUAACUAUGAAAUUACUGCGGAGCUGUCUUGUCAGUAACCAGAGAAAUGGCAGUGUGGGAGGCAAAGCAACAAGACUCCCAUUGUAGCUUCGGCAAUGGCUCAGCACCUCUUGUGUCACGCUGUGAGGAGAGAAAGGGAGGAGGAUGAGAAAGAGUGAGGGAGCGAGUGAGUGAAUGUAUGUGUGUGCAGGUGAGAAGAGGCCUCAGGUUUACCUGGUCUGGACUGGUCUGGUCUGGUUUGGCACUAUAGACAGAGCGGCAGCCAAAAGGCUUGAAGGAGAGAACAGGCUGAGACGGGUGCUACAACAAAGCUCCACAAUCAAAGCCACACCUCCAGCUCACCUGGAACCUCCAAGCCACAGGCAAAUAGGCCCACCUGACAGAGGGGCCACCCCAAGGUUUCAAAGAGCACUUCAGAGACACAACACACAAAUAAAUGUCUAGACGCUUUCUACUUUCUCUGAGCAAGGCCUGGAAGUUGUAUGUGUGUCUGGGGGGUAGGGUCUUUUCCCUUUGCUUUCAUCCCUUAAUCUUGUCUGCAAAUCAGCAUGAUUGAUUUAGGAAAUGUCUAGGAAAUCUCAGGACGGAAAAAGCCUUUGCUUUUUUUGUCAUCUCUUUAGUAACCUCAGUCUUCUAUCUGAUUGUUAAGGUAGAAUCUAAGAAAAAUAAAGUACAUUACUGUACCUUUAGGGGUACAGUGGCUUGUCACUGGGGCAAUACCCUCUAAGGUACAUAUUUGUACCCUUUAUAAACUGCUUGGGAAC